AGAGUUUGAUUCUGGCUCAGAACGAACGUUGGCGGCGUGGAUUAGGCAUGCAAGUCGAACGAGAACCAGCUUUGUAGCAAUACCGAGUUGGGGAAAGUGGCGAAAGGGGCAGUAAUGCGUGGGUAACGUACCUCGGGGAUGGGCAUAGCUGGCCUAACGGCCAGGUAAUUCCCAGCGAUUUGGUUGAGGGGCAUCCCUUGGCCAGGAAAUGAAUUUCGCCUCGAGAGCGGCUCACGUCGUAUUAGCUUGUUGGCGAGGUAACGGCUCACCAAGGCUAAGAUGCGUAGCGGGUGUGAGAGCACGACCCGCGCCACUGGCACUGAGACACUGGCCAGACACCUACGGGUGGCUGCAGUCGAGGAUCUUCGGCAAUGGGCGCAAGCCUGACCGAGCGACGCCGCGUGUGCGAAGAAGGCCUUCGGGUUGUAAAGCACUGUCGAGGGGGAGGAAGCCGCAAGGUUGACCUAUCCCUGGAGGAAGCACGGGCUAAGUUCGUGCCAGCCGCCGCGGUAA
rnacentral:rRNA from 1 species